rnacentral:rRNA from 1 species
GAUGAACGCUGGCGGCGUGCCUAAUACAUGCAAGUCGAGCGAACGGACGAGAAGCUUGCUUCUCUGAUUUUAGCGGCGGACGGGUGAGUAACACGUGGAUAACCUACCUAUAAGACUGGGAUAACUUCGGGAAACCGGAGCUAAUAACGGAUAAUAUUUUGAACCGCAUGGUUCCAAAGUGAAAGACGGUCUUGCUGUCACUUAUAGAUGGAUCCGCGCUGCAUUAGCUAGUUGGUAAGGUAACGGCUUAGCAAGGCAACGAUGCAUAGCCGACCUGAGAGGGUGAUCGGCCACCCUGGAACUGAGACACGGUCCAGACUCCUACGGGAGGCAGCAGUAGGGAAUCUUCCGCAAUGGGCGAAAGCCUGACGGAGCAACGCCGCGUGAGUGCUGAAGGUCUUCGGAUCGUAAAACUCUGUUAUUAGGGAAGAACAAAUGUGUAAGUAACUGUGAACAUCUUGACGGUACCUAAUCAGAAAGCCACGGCUAACUCCGUG